GCCAUAUCAGAAAUCCUCUAUAGCUCCUCUCUCUCUCUCUCUCUCUCUCUCUCUCUCUCUCUCUCUCUUUUUGCCCCCCUCUUCUAUUAACAGUUGAGGGGAAUGUUGUCUGGUUCGAUGUCAUUCAUCUGAAGCUCAAAUUAACCUUAACUGAAUGAUUUCGGACCAGGCUUCAUUCCCCCCAACAGGGUUUGAUUUGAUUUUCAUCUAGACUAAUUAAAGCAUGUAAUAGCUUUGCUAAUUCAUCAUCUUCAUCAUUUUUUAGUCUGAUGCAGUAGAUAUUAAGAGGUGCAAGAAAGUUUAGUUCUCCCUUGUUAUUUCCAUUUUCUAAAGCUUAAUCAUAUAUAUUAUUGCUGAUGGCAGGAGGAUAUAUAUAUGUUUAGUCGAUCGGCUUUGAUCCGAUGCAAAUAAUUAUCAGGGAAAGGAACCAAGGAAAAAGCUAUUAUGAAAUUUCAGCCACCAGGCAGCCAGCAGGUUAGUCUGAGGAAAAUUUCUCAACAGUUAGCUUUGUUGUAUGAUUCUGAAACCUGUUCUGGCAAGUUGCUAUUUCACUUUUCUGCAUAUGCCCCCAACCAUUGCCUUCAUUGGAAUAUUCACACUCACCAACAAAAGUUGCCGAACCCAUCGCUCUUCUACCAUAUGGAAAGUGAACAAUAAUCUGCAGAGUGCUAAUCUGUCUUGAUAUAAUUUACAUUGAAAGUACUUCAGAUAUCUGCAACUAACAGAAACUCCGUUGUUUCAAGUCUUCAUCCCCCGCCAGACAUUAAUUACUUAUUUCCCUUCUGUUUUUAUGAAGAACUCAACUCUCCAGAUUCGCUUCAUCAGUCAGAACUUCCAUCUGUCAGGCAAAAUUCCCCACCAGAAAUAUAAAUAUUCUAGGGAGGAAGUAGAGGAUUUCUUGUAGAAUUUCUCCAACUAAGCAAUGUAAUUUCACUCACAAGUCCAAUGGACCAAGGAAAUUUUCAUUAUUAACUACAUAUUAUAUCAAUUGCUCCAACUCCACGCUCGGUUCAAGCUCAAGUUAAGCCUCUUACUUCCUUUGAGAACUUCACCAAGACUCCUGCCAAUAAUGUAAACCACUUAUCUUAGGUUAUGAUAGUGCAUUAUCAAUUGAGUU